UAGAAUUCAAAACGAGAACAAAGACACUGAGGAAGACUUACUACCUCUACUACCUCUUCAGGACAUUGACUUUACACAGUUAGCUGAUGACUCUGAUCAUGAGGAGGAUGCACUCAAUGCUGAAUUGAUUGCUUUAACGGACCUGCCAGUUCAACAAGUGAAUGCUAAAGGGCACAAUACUGUGGCUCAAAAAGCCCCUCGAAACCGAGCACUGGAGGUGAAAUAUGCUGAAGCAAUUAAAGAAAAUGGCAUUCUAAAAUGCAGUAGGUUAAAUUAAUCAU